rnacentral:rRNA from 1 species
GUCGAGAGGCUUCGGCAAUGGGGGAAACCCUGACCGAGCGACGCCGCGUGGAGGAUGAAGGCCUUUGGGUUGUAAACUCCUUUCGUGGGGGAAGAAUGUAUCUGGGGUGAACAAUCCCGGGUAUUGACGGUACCCCAAGAAGAAGCUCCGGCUAACUCCGUGCCAGCAGCCGCGGUAAUACGGGGGGAGCAAGCGUUGUUCGGAAUCACUGGGCGUAAAGGGCGUGUAGGCGGUUCGGUAAGUGGGAUGUGAAAUGCCCCGGCUCACCCGGGGACCUGCAUCCCAUACUGCUGAGCUUGAGUACAGGAGAGGGUGGGGGAAUUCCUGGUGUAGCGGUGAAAUGCGUAGAUAUCAGGAGGAACACCGGUGGCGAAGGCGCCCACCUGGCCUGCUACUGACGCUGAGGCGCGAAAGCUAGGGGAGCAAACGGGAUUAGAAACCCCAGUAGUCC